rnacentral:rRNA from 1 species
UACGUAGGGUGCGAGCGUUGUCCGGAAUUAUUGGGCGUAAAGGGCUCGUAGGCGGUUUGUCGCGUCGGGAGUGAAAACCUCGGGCUUAACUCGGGGCUUGCUUUCGAUACGGGCAGACUGGAGGUAUGCAGGGGAGAACGGAAUUCCUGGUGUAGCGGUGAAAUGCGCAGAUAUCAGGAGGAACACCCAUGGCGAAGGCAGCUCUCUGGCCUAUAACUGACGCUGAGGUGCGAAAGCGUGGGGAGCAAACGGG